rnacentral:rRNA from 1 species
AACGAACGCUGGCGGCGUGGAUCAGGCAUGCAAGUCGAACGAUCUCGCAAGAGAAAGUGGCGGAAGGGUUAGUAACACGUGGGUAACCUACCCUAAAGUCGGGGAUAACACCGCGAAAGCGGUGCUAAUACCCGAUGAUAUUACCGGAUCGCAUGAUUUGGUAAUCAAAGGUAGCUCGCAAGGGCUGCCGCUGAAGGAGGGACCCGCGGCCUAUCAGCUAGUUGGAGAGGUAACGGCUCACCAAGGCUAUUGACGGGUAGCUGGUCUAAGAGGACGGUCAGCAACAUUGGGACUGAGACACUGCCCAGACUCCUACGGGAGGCUGCAGUCGAGGAUCUUUAGCAAUGCCCGAAAGGGUGACUAUGCGACGCCGCGUGGAGGAUGAAGGCCU